CCUACGGGUGGCUGCAGUGGGGAAUUUUGGGCAAUGGGCGCAAGCCUGACCGAGCGACGCCGCGUGAGCGAUGAAGGCCUUCGGGUUGUAAAGCUCUGUCGGGGGGGAGAAAAGGGCAACCUUGAUCGACCCCCGGAGGAAGCACGGGCUAAGUUCGUGCCAGCAGCCGCGGUAAGACGAACCGUGCGAACGUUGUUCGGAAUCACUGGGCUUAAAGGGCGCGUAGGCGGCUUCGCAGGUCAGGGGUGAAGGCCCGCGGCUCAACCGCGGAAGUGCCUUUGAUACCGCGAGGCUUGAGGGAGGUAGGGGCGUGCGGAACUUCCGGUGGAGCGGUGAAAUGCGUAGAUAUCGGAAGGAACACCGGUGGCGAAAGCGGCGCGCUGGACCUCUUCUGACGCUGAGGCGCGAAAGCCAGGGGAGCGAACGGGAUUAGAUACCCUGGUAGUC
rnacentral:rRNA from 1 species